UUUUUUUGUUGCAGCAGCAUAGAAGGCUUUGGCAGUUCUGUGCCUUUUUUGCAGGGACAUCCCUGGAAGAACUCAUCUCCCCACACUUCUCCUCUUCCAGAUGAUGGAAACGGAAGCAGAGAUACACAUCCAGGCACUGAACCGAACUCCUGGAAUCCUGUUGUAGACAUGGAGGAGUGAUGAACAAAGUGGUCAAAACCAUGCUGGGGAAACCCACAGAAACAGCUAGCCUGACAAGUUGGAGUUCAGAGAACCCAAUUGACAGCUUGGGAACCAGCAUAUGACCAAUUCAGGCAGCCUGAAGUUGGGUGUCCAACGGGGCCUUGGGAAGUCUAUGGGACUUCUUGCAGUGGAAACAGUAUUUAUUCCUCGUGCUCAAAUAGUCUUUGGGAGACCAUUCAAAAUGGAAGGAUGCUCUUUCAAUAUAGAUAUAUGGGGGAGGACCUAGGUCUUGUCCCAAAUGAUGUGACAGACUUAGAUUAGCCCCCAAUGGAAGCCUCAUCUUCCCUGGGGUAUGGAUGGGGCUUUGGUGCUGGACAUGGUAGGAUGGGAGGGAGAGGACAGGCAGAUUGGUUUGUAAAACAAGAUUGUGUUUAAUAAAUAAAAAUGUACUUUAAAAUGGUUUCAAUGAUUAAAUAUCAAAAGGAAUAAAAGCCGGCUAUAAUAUAUAUU